CCAGUUGACCGGGUGGCCGCUGGCAGUGGGGUAACCUGCUGCUGGAGGAAAGUCCGGGCUCCUUCGAAACACGGUGCCGGCUAACGGCCGGCGGGGGCGACCCUAGGGAAAGUGCCACAGAAAGCAAACCGCCCGGCCUCGGCUGGGUAAGGGUGAAAGGGUGCGGUAAGAGCGCACCGGGUGCCUGGCAACAGGGACCGCACGGUAAACCCCACCGGGAGCAAGACCAAAUAGGGAUGACGCGGGGCCAAGGAUAAACCUUGUCCCCAGCCUGUUUCGAGGCCAGAUCAUCCGGGUUGGUUGCACGAGCGUCCUGGCAACAGGCGCCACAGAUGAAUGGUCACCACGUCGCGGAAACGCGGCCCUACAGAACCCGGCUUAUAGGUCAACUGGCGUA
rnacentral:RNase_P_RNA from 2 species